rnacentral:rRNA from 1 species
UACGUAGGGGGCAAGCGUUGUCCGGAUUUAUUGGGCGUAAAGAGCGUGUAGGCGGCCAAGCAGGUCCGCUGUGAAAACUCGAGGCUCAACCUCGAGACGUCGGUGGAAACCGUUUGGCUAGAGUCCGGAAGAGGAGAGUGGAAUUCCCGGUGUAGCGGUGAAAUGCGCAGAUAUCGGGAGGAACACCGGUGGCGAAGGCGGGUCACUGGCCCGGUACUGACGCUGAGGUGCGAAAGCGUGGGGAGCAAACAGG